GGAUUUGUCAGUUGGUCGGGCUUCACUGUCCGUAUUGACUUUAUGGAUUCUUACCUUCUGAAUAACCAGCAUGCUAUUAAUUUAGUGCGUUGUGGGGAAGCAGAUCUAUUACCUUGAAAAAUCAGUGCUUGAAUAGAUUAGCAUGGAAUAAUAAAAUAGGACGGCAUGGUUCACCGUA
rnacentral:rRNA from 1 species